GGGAGCGUGAAAGGGCCAUUAGCCCCGUUUUACAGGAGGGGAGCUGGUGCCUAAAGAGAGGAAGACACGGUCACUCAGGGGACUCUGGCACAGCCAGGAGUCAAACCCGGAUCUCCAGCCUGCCACAGCCCGGGGAAAGGCGAAGCCGCCCAGGGACGCCGGCUCGGCGUAGAAGAAGCGCAGGUAGCCCUCGGGGACCUUGUGAUCAUGCUUCCGUGAGUUCUCCAUGAAGUUGCCGGCCCCGCUCAGCACGUAGCCCACGCCAGCCUUGUCCUGCAGUAGAAGUUGUCGCCGAGGGACAAGAUGAAGUCCGCGCCCAACGCUGCCACCGUACGGCCCAUCUCCUUGGCUGUGGCCACCUCACGCACCGUGUGAAAGGGGGGAUUGGACACCCCGCCCCAGUCCCCCAGGGCGAUGAAGCGCAGGGAGGAGCCGGCGGAGAGCAGGCUGGCGUAGGGGGUCGGCAGAGCCACCAGGAGGAGCGCGGAGAGACACAGCCGUGAGGCCGUCGCUACGCCGGUCGAAGCUCCGGAGCACAGACCUGGCCCAAGGCUCGGAAUGGGCUGCUGGGUGGGCGAGCCCCCCGCUUCCGUGCAGAGCCCGCCGGCGUUCGGAAGAGGAGGCGGAAAAAUCGGAGCAGUGCGGGAAAGCGGAACAAGAGCCGACGGCGGGACGCCCGGGGAAACGAGGCAGCAGCCUGUGAGGGUGCGGGAGCUUUGUGCCCGGGCAGCGGUGGGUCCCCCGGGAAGCGUCGUGAGUCACACGCAGGGCUCAGGGCGGGGGGAGCAGUAACCGGGAGACGAGACGGGCUCGUGGCCCUGGC